rnacentral:rRNA from 1 species
UACGGAGGGUGCAAGCGUUGUCCGGAUUUACUGGGUUUAAAGGGUGCGUAGGUGGGUCUGUAAGUCAGUGGUGAAAUCUCCGGGCUUAACCCGGAAACUGCCAUUGAUACUAUAGAUCUUGAAUAUCCUGGAGGUGAGCGGAAUAUGUCAUGUAGCGGUGAAAUGCUUAGAUAUGACAUAGAACACCAAUUGCGAAGGCAGCUCACUACGGGAUCAUUGACACUGAGGCACGAAAGCGUGGGGAUCAAACAGG